rnacentral:rRNA from 1 species
UACGAAGGGGGCUAGCGUUGCUCGGAAUCACUGGGCGUAAAGGGUGCGUAGGCGGGUUCUAAGUCAGAGGUGAAAGCCUGGAGCUCAACUCCAGAACUGCCUUUGAUACUGGAAGUCUUGAGUAUGGCAGAGGUGAGUGGAACUGCGAGUGUAGAGGUGAAAUUCGUAGAUAUUCGCAAGAACACCAGUGGCGAAGGCGGCUCACUGGGCCGAUUACUGACGCUGAGGCACGAAAGCGUGGGGAGCAAACAGG